rnacentral:rRNA from 1 species
AUUGCACGCUGGCGGCAGGCCUAACACAUGCAAGUCGAACGGAGCGGCUGACGGGUGAGUAAUGCCUAGGAAUCAACCUGGCAGAGGGGGAUAACGAACGGAUACGGGCGGUAAUAACGCACACUAUCCGUUGAGCAUAGAUGGUAUUAGUUAGUUGGUGGGGUAAAUGCCUACCAAGGCGAUGAACCGUAACUGGUUUGCGAGGAUGAUUAGUCAUACUGGAACUGAGACACGGUCCAGACUCCUACGGUAGGCAGCAGUGGGGAAUAUUGGACAAUGGGCGAAAGCCUGAUCCAGCCAUGCCGCGUGUGUGAAGAAGGUCUUCGGAUUGUAAAGCACUUUAAGUUGGGAGGCGUUACCAACAGAAUAAGCACCGGCUAACUUCGUGCCAGCAGCCGCGGUAAUAC